GGCGUUAUAGUGUAGGGGACCAUCACUCGGGAUUCUGAUUACAGGAUCUUCCCGAAACCCAGGUUCGAAUCCUGGUAACGCCU